rfam:Erwinia billingiae strain Eb661 complete chromosome.
AAAAGUUGAGUUUGACUCGCUAACUGUGAUAACUCUGUAGGCAUUACUUCGAACAAGCGAAAUUAUCGAAUACAAAUGAAAGCCCUUCUACGAGUCGUCAGCCUAGUCAUUAUUAACGUCGUCGUGAUUAUUAUCACGCCGUGCGGGGCUACGCUCGGAGAAAGAAAGGCUUAAAAAUCAAGCCUGAUUUCGAAAGAACCCCCGCACCGAAAGGUCCGGGGGUUUUUUUUUGGCAGGUUAUCAAUGACAGAGGAACAGAUUAUGAACAGUAGAAUAAAAUGCUGUUGUUCCCAGCCAGAG